GAUGUUCCAGAGGGAGUGUGAUGUGGCAGAGAAUUUGCCGGUGCUUCCUGCAGCACAGCGACUCCCUUUUCUCCUUACCAAGAAACUUGAUUUUGUUUACCUUUGGGGACAAGGGGCAGAGAUCCAGAUGGGGACCGCUGUGCCUUGCCUGCUUCAGUGCUGGCUGCUUGCCUACCUGUGCCUGUGGUCCAGCACAGCCUGGUGACGUGAAGAAGCCUGAACACACCCACGCUGCCAUCUCUGUUUUGUUCCUGCUGGUCUCUACCUAGAGUGCCCCCUCUACCCAUUCCUACCUAUUAAACUUUGCUUCCCCAGCACUCAGCACACAUUAGGCCAACCAAAGAAGGUCUCCUUAACUCAGUAAUGACAAAAACAAAUAACUCCAUUAAAAAACAGGCAAAGGACUUGAAUAGACAUUUUCCAAAGAAGACAUACAAAUGACCAAUAAGCACAUGAAAAGAUGCUCAACAUCACUAAUCACUAGGGAAAUGCAAAUUAAAACUACCAUGAGAUACCACCUCACAUACAUUAUGAUGACCAUUAUCCAAAAAAAAAAAACCAGCAAGUGUUGGCGAGGAUGUGGAGAAUCUGGAACCUUUGUGCACUCUUGGUGGGAAUGUACAAUGGUAAAGCCACUGUGAAAAACAGUAUGGAGGUUCCUCCAAAGAUUAAAAAUAGAACUACCAUAUGAUCUAGCAAUUCUACUUCUGAGUAUAUACCCAAAAGAACUGAAAGCCACAGGAACAGUUACUUGUACAUCAAUGAUCAUAGCAACAUUUUUCACAGUAGCCAAAAGGUAUAAGCAACCCAAGUGUCCACAGAUGACAGAUGAAUGGAUAAACAAAAUGGUUAUAUAUAUGUGUGUGUGUGUGUGUGUGUGUGUAUACAUAAUAUGUGACAUUUAUUUUUGAUGUAUAUAUGUAUAUGCAUGUAGAUAUAUAUGCAAAUAGAUACAAUACACAUACAAUGGGAUAUCAUUCAGUCUUCAAAAAGAAAAAAUCUGACAUAUGUUACAAGACGAGGAUAUUAUGCUCAGUGAAGUAAGUCAAUCACAAAAAGAUAACUACUGUAUGAGUCCAUAUAUAUUUGACUACCACCUAGAGUAGUCAAAUUCAUAGACACAGAAAGUAUAAUGGUGGUUUCCAGGGGCUGGAGGGAGGAGGGAAUGAGGAGUUGUUGGUAGUGGGUAUAGUUUCAGUUUUGCAACAUGAAAGAGUUUUGGAGAUGGUUGCAUAAGGGUAUGAAUAUACUUUACUGAACUAUAUACUUAAAAAUUGUUUCGAUGGUAUAUUUUAUAUGUAAUUUACCACAAUUACAAUUUUAAAAUAAAAGGUAUCCUUUGCUAA